UGGGGAAUCUUGCGCAAUGGGCGAAAGCCUGACGCAGCGACGCCGCGUGGGUGAUGAAGGCCUUCGGGUUGUAAAGCUCUGUGGGGAGAGAAGAAUAAGCAUUGGCUAAUAUCCAAUGCGAUGACGGUAUCUCCUUAGCAAGCACCGGCUAACUCUGUGCCAGCAGCCGCGGUAAGACAGAGGGUGCAAACGUUGUUCGGAAUUACUGGGCGUAAAGCGCGUGUAGGCGGUCGUGCAAGUCGGGUGUGAAAGCCCCAGGCUCAACCUGGGAAGUGCAUUCGAUACUGCGAGACUCGAGUCCCGGAGAGGAUGGUAGAAUUCUCGGUGUAGAGGUGAAAUUCGUAGAUAUCGGGAAGAAUACCGGUGGCGAAGGCGGCCAUCUGGACGGUGACUGACGCUGAGACGCGAAAGCGUGGGGAGCAAACAG
rnacentral:rRNA from 1 species